CGGACCCAGAUUAGAGGUGCAGAAACAUAACAUAACAUCGAUGUUUUCAAAACAUCGAAACCAUCGAUAGUUCGUGACCACCAUCGAUGUUUUCACUAACAACUCUGCGCUCGGUGCGAACAAAUUGAUUUCUAGUUGGUGGUGUUGGUGGUGUGUCCACCCGAGACGAUGCCAAAAGGAAAACACUCCUGACACUUGCGACCCCUUAAAGUAUUGGGAGAUGACUGAUGACAAUGAAUUAAAAUUGGUUGCAAAAAAAUAUUUCUGUGUACGAGCCUCGUCCCAUGAGUCUGAAAGGGUGUUCAGCAAAGCUGAACAAACUGUAUCUGAUCGCAGAACAAGGCUUAAACCUGAAGUUGUUGAUAAACUUCUUUUCCUCAACAAAAAUAGACACUUUAAUUGAUCUCAAAUAAACCUCAUUGUUAUCGUU